UACGUAGGGGGCUAGCGUUGUCCGGAAUCAUUGGGCGUAAAGCGCGUGUAGGCGGUCCGGUAAGUCCGCUGUGAAAGUCGGGGGCUCAACCCUCGAAUGCCGGUGGAUACUGUCGGGCUAGAGUGCGGAAGAGGCGAGUGGAAUUCCUGGUGUAGCGGUGAAAUGCGCAGAUAUCAGGAGGAACACCGGUGGCGAAGGCGGGUCUCUGGGCCGAUACUGACGCUGAGGAGCGAAAGCGUGGGGGAGCGAACAGG
rnacentral:rRNA from 1 species